AAAAAGUGUCAGAUGUUUACUUUGCAGUCAUGGUUACUCUUUUAAACAUAAAUAGUUGUUGUGUUUCCAUCAUCCAUGUUUAAGUUUACAUUACUAUAUUUUCUAUAACGUAUUGGAAGAUACGUACAUGUUAAUAGAUUAAGAACAGACGUUUACAAUUUUAUAUAUAUAUGCUAUACUUAGAUUUAUUUUACCAUUAAGCAUCAACAAAUAAUCCGAGUAAAUCCAAACCGAGAUUUUAGAUUUAAAAAAAAAAUAAAUAAUAAACUAAGGUAUGCAUUUGGACUGUAGCUACCAGUCUUUUUUCAUUUAGGGUACUCAAGCAUCCUAAAAUCACAUUAAAGUACUACUUGACUUAAAACUUCAACCUAAUUGGUGGCAUAAUAGGAGCCCUAUAAAGGAUUUUUUUUUAAAGUACUGCCUGCUACUACCUAACUGGAGUAAAACGUUUUCAGGUGGGGCUUCUGUCAUUUGAUGCACCCGGGAUGGGUGUGGAGCAAGGAGAAGGAAGUUAAAGCAGGAGAAUCAAUAAAAUCCUGCAGUAAUGUAACUGCUUUUGGAAAGAGGGGCUGGAGGUAUCUUAUUUAGAAGGUAUGUCAAACAGGAAAGUGGCUUAAGAUAAAAGGUGGACUAGAGGUAGAGAGAGGCUGAUGGAGUUUCAGAAGCGAGGAAUUUUCCAUGCUCGUGCCACAAGUGAGAACUGACAGAGGAAGGCUGCCAGUGCCUGCCCCUUUCCUCCCACACGCAGUGUGGCAUUUCCAAGUUACGUCUGAAUCCCUUCCAGCUGACAUCAAUGACCAAGCUUCAAUGGACUUGAGGAAUGACCAGAGUUGUUUGAAGGAGUUUGGAUGGCAUGGUGGGAGAUGCCAGUAAAGUUAGCUGAUGAUGGGAUGCUCUCCUUGACAGCCUAUGCAAUCUUCAGGUCAGGCUGCUGACAGGUAUGAUUUUCGAUGUUCCAGCGGUAGACAACAGCACGUCCCCAAUAAAGCCAAGGACUGCUUUAAGCAGCUGAGAUUCUCACAGUUCUUUCGUUCCCUGCUGAUGAACGAACUUUUAUAGGAGUGAAAUACGAUUCUCAUUUUGGUUUUAUGCUAAGCUAUACUUCAAAGCCAGAGGAAAUUCAGUGGUCUUGGGAUGAGAAUGAUUCCCAGAAGACAAUGGAGGAAAAAAGUUCUGGAGGAAAAUGAUAACCCCACAGGCAAAAAGGGUGGUUUAGCCAGUGAAUAUUAUAAGGAGUUGUGUGAAAAAAACCCUCUGGUGAUAAUUAAAUGCAGCUUAAAUUCCUACAAACCUUGAUCAAAAUCCAUCACUGGGAUCAGACUCCCAUUACUGAACAGUACAAGAUCAGUUCUUGCUGAUGAUAGAGAUGAACAACUGCUCGUGGGCAAGUACUACAGUUGUGCCGUGGUGAGUGCCGACUGGAAAGCCACCUCCUCAACCGAUUGAAUUGCUUCCAGUUUCAAGCAGAUUAUAUGUGGAAGCUGAGCUUUCUGAAAUGCAUACUAAUACAUUUUUAUGGGCAGCUUGGCAGGCUUGAACACUGUGCUGCAUCCCCAGAAGCGGCAGCAGACUUAAUUUGAUCUGGAAUUAUUUUUGCCUGACCAAGAUCUUGGUGAUGUGGAUGUGCAGAGCACACCUUUCCUGCCUGAAUUAUACGUAUUUGCAAGUGAAGCUGUAUGAUUGAAUUAACUGGAAUUAAUGAAGAAGAAGCACAUGUUACACUUGCUCCUGGUCAAGUCCUGAAGGCCAGCCGGUCAGAGGGCAGUGGUUGUUGUUGCCUCUCCCUGGUGCAGUCGGGCUUUUAAGUGGGGGUUUUCACGGUGGGGGAAGCAGUGUCUGCUGUGGAAACCUCAUCAGCAGGUGGCACAGGUGCAAGCACUAAUUGGGACACAGAUGAAUAAGCCAGAGCCGGUAUGCCAGCCCCUGUAUCUGCAUCCACAUCAGCAUUGCUGGUGCUUUGUUCACUGUAGAGGCUGGGUAUGGGAGUGUGAUGGGGAAGGUUUACACAAGCAUGGAGGUGCACUGGCAGAGCUGUUGCAGGCUUGGAAAAUGUUCAUCUCAUGCAUACUGUCUCCCAAGAAGCAACCAGAAAGGCCUAAAGGAAACGAGCGGAAUAAGACAAGGGAAAAUAAUCCCUCAAAAAGCUUUUUGUGAUCCGUUGCUUGCACAAUCUUGCUGCAUUAAAACCAGACCAGUGCACCCUAGGUAAUGUUGAAAAGCACUGCCUUCCCAGCUGGGUCUUCCUGUGUUCCCACUAGGUUCUGUUGCUUCCUAUUUUUCUGUUUCGUUGCUCAUUUUCUAGGAGGGUUGCAACUUAAGGUCUACAACCUGCUCUUUCUCACCUUGAAAUUGUAAUUCUAUAUGUGCAGCACUACUUUUGAUUGCAGAGAAGCAGUGCUGGCUAACAAUCACUGGAAUAUCCCUUUGAAGGGCUACAAGCCCACUUGCAUAAACAAAUAAGUUUGCUAGGGCAAGUUGCUCGAGAAACAAUGCUUCAUUUGCUGGGGAAUGCAACCAGACUGCGACUUCAGGCCCCAGCUUUCAUGGUGAAACCGCUAAAUUAUGAGAAAUGUAUUUCCUGCAUAUUAGUAAGACCACCCAUGCAGACAUAUGGAGCAAAAAGGGGUUUCCUUUUAAAAGGAGUAGUCUGCCACUCUCAAACUGUGAAAGUGUUACAGUUCAUGGAAAUGCUGGGUGUUGUAGCAGCUCCCUAACUACUCUUCAGCCCAAGGUAGGCUGCAUGGUGGGCAGCCUUGCUCUAGGGUGUCCCUGCAUUGGGAAGAUCAGAUUUUCUUGAUUAACAGUGAUAACAGAGCUUAAUAACAGAAGGCAGCUCUCUGCUGCCUUCUUUGAAUGCACACUCACAAAAAUAAUCCUGGAAAUAUUCUUUAUUUGAAUAUAUGUUUGGCUGUGAGCGGGAAAACCUGUAAAGAUAAUGAACUCAUAAAGGAAAAAAAAAUAAUUCUGUAUGUACUUUCUAUUUAGAAAUAUAGAGUGCUUUUAAAAUAUUCAGAAAACAUGAAACAUCAUCAGGAAUCUUGCUAGACAGAGCGUUUCUUUAGUACAGAGUGCCUGCAAAACUUUCUAAAGAUAAAUAAACCUGUGCCUGUUUAUGGACGAUAUUUCAGUUGUGGCUAAGACAUGAUUUAAAAUAAUUGAUUAAGCAUUUCAUCCAUGAAAACCAAAGAGUUUAAUUAAAAAUGUAACAGUGUUAAAGUGAGAUCAUGCUUGACAGAUGAAAAAUUAGACAUCGAUGAAAUGACCAAGAGAAGCAAUUUGCAUUAAAAAAAAUACAA